AGAAUCAUUUUUGUCACCUCCCUGAGUUUAACAUAUGAGGUUAUAGUCUCCCACACAAAUUUAAAAACAAAACAUGCACUCUCAAUUAUUACUUUAUUGUCCUAUACUGAGAGUCUGAGACUGAUGCUACACUGCUUAGAGAGGGAUACAAUUGGUUUGCUUUGGUCCAUCUAGCAUUCAGAUAAAUUAUAACUAGCAGGAUCAAAACAAAAAGUGACAAUGAAAAAAAAAAACCUGUUGCAAGGAAGCUGCUUUGG
rnacentral:lncRNA from 1 species